rnacentral:rRNA from 1 species
AUUGAACGCUGGCGGCAGGCUUAACACAUGCAAGUCGAGCGGAGAUGAGGUGCUUGCACCUUAUCUUAGCGGCGGACGGGUGAGUAAUGCUUAGGAAUCUGCCUAUUAGUGGGGGACAACAUUCCGAAAGGAAUGCUAAUACCGCAUACGUCCUACGGGAGAAAGCAGGGGACCUUCGGGCCUUGCGCUAAUAGAUGAGCCUAAGUCUGAUUACAUAGUUGGUGGGGUAAAGGCCUACCAAGGCGACGAUCUGUAGCGGGUCUGAGAGGAUGAUCCGCCACACUGGGACUGAGACACGGCCAAGACUCCUACGGGAGGCAGCAGUGGGGAAUAUUGGACAAUGGGCGGAAGCCUGAUCCAGCCAUGCCGCGUGUGUGAAGAAGGCCUUUUGGUUGUAAAGCACUUUAAGCGAGGAGGAGGCUACUUAGAUUAAUACUCUAGGAUAGUGGACGUUACUCGCAGAAUAAGCACCGGCUAACACUGUGCCAGCCGCCGCAGUAAAAC